CCUACGGGGGGCAGCAGUGGGGAAUAUUGGACAAUGGGGGAAACCCUGAACCAGCAACGCCGCGUGAGUGAUGAAGUAUUUCGGUAUGGAAAGCUGUAUUAGCAGGGAAGAAGAUGACGUUACCUGAUUGAGUAGCCCUGGCUAACUACGUGCCAGCAGCCGCGUUAAUGCGUAGGGGGCCAGCGUUAUCCGGAUUUACUGGGUGUUAAGGGGGCGCAAUCGGGAGCGAGAGUCUGGAGGGAAAGUCCGGGGCCGAACCCCGGACCUGCUCUGGAAACUGGGCGGCUAGAGUACUGGAGGGGCAGGCGGAAUGCCUGGUGUAGCGGUGAAAUGCGUAGAUAUCAGGCGGAACACCAGUGGCGAAGGCAGCAUACUGGCCUGUAACUGACGUUGAGGCUCGAAAGCGUGGGGAGCAAACAGGAUUAGAUACCCCAGUAGUC
rnacentral:rRNA from 1 species